rnacentral:lncRNA from 1 species
UCUGGGUCAGGCUUUGUUCUGGCUACUUCUCUUUGCUCCUCUGGUCUUUCUUCUAAGCAGGGGUGCUCCUCUAGGAGGCCAGCCUUCUCCAGCCCUCACUUCUGCCCCCUGUGGGCCAAAGCCGUUUUCUUUCUCCUCUGGGCACUAAGGCCCAGCUCCCUGUCCCCCGGGCUGUUGCUGGCUGGUGACCCCCGGCUCCGCUUCCUACUUCCCCCCCUGGCUGCAGUCCCUGUACCUUUCCUUCCUUCAAACUCUCCCAUAAAGCACGGAGAGAUCGGCAGGUGUUUGGGGCAGAGCUGGCUGGCAAGGGUGGGAAGGAGAUUUUCUAAUUAACUUCUCAUUAUUAAUUCCUAGAUUAAUUUCACGGUGGCCCAAGGAUUUACCUCUGAAUGAUUUAAAUCCCUUGGAAUGUAAGGCUUGCUUUAUGGUCAGCAUCUGGCUCCUUUGACUCCCUGUUAUGUGUGUGGUUAGGAACGUGAGUUCCCUUGUAGGGCGCUUGCCUGGAAGGCGCCGGGCCCCCGAAUUCCAUCCCCAACACUGAAAAAUAAAUUUGAAUAAUAAUAAUAAAAAGAGAAGAAUGUGUGUUCCCUCGUGGCUGGAUUGGGUGCCCAGCAGGUCAGGCUGAUUCCUGGCCUACCUGCGCCCUUCCUGCUUCCUCGUCCUUGAGAGGACAGGCAGCGUGAAUGCUGCUCCUACUGCUGCGGACCUGUCACUGACUCUGUUUUGUAGCCUGGGUGGAUGGACACUGCUCUCACGAUAAAGCAUCUCCUUUAUCUCUAAAAACGCUUUUUUGC